rnacentral:lncRNA from 1 species
CCCCCGAGACGCUGCUGCAGCGAGCCAGGGACUUCCUGGCCCUCUACCACCGCGCCCUGCGCCGGGAGAACUCGGCGGCGCACGCCCAGCGCCUGGGGGAGGUGGCGGCCGCCAUCGCGGGCAGCGGCACCUACGUCCUGCGGGGGCCGGAGCUGGUGUUCGGGGCUCGAACGGCCUGGAGGAACGCGGGGCGCUGCGUGGGGCGCAUCCAGUGGAACAAGCUGCAGGUGUUCGACGCCCGGGACUGCACCAACGUGGGGCAGAUGUUCGGGUUCCUCUGCUCCCAC